ensembl:lncRNA
GCCUGAUUUCAGAUGUUUGGGAUCAACUGAGAAUAUGUUUAUUUAAAAGCAGUUUUAAAUAUUAAAAAAAGUAGAAAUUAACACGUACAUUACUGAAAAAUGGUCACAGUAAAUACAUGUGAAAUGAAAAGCGUCCUGAUGUUCGAUGGCAACAUCUGGAUGGAACUCGGAAUUUAACUAGUGGCACUACGGGAUUCCUAUACAACAUGUUGGAAGUUCUAGGCAAUAAAAAAAUAAAUAGCAAUUGCUGUUCAACAGUAAAAUAAGACACGCUAUUUGCAGAACAUAACUUUCCUCUCUGUGGGGAAAAAGAACUAAUUUGCUAUUUUUUUCGAAAGGUUCCAUACCUUCAAAAUAAUCUAUCAUGUACAACAUCGCAGAUAGUGGCUCAUGAGUUGAAGAACAAGAUCAGAUUUAAACUCCACAAGAUUGCCAAUGGUGUUCUAUCUAGUCUUCCUAUGUCCUACAGUAAGCUGGAUUAGAGAACUCACAUUCCUGAUGGAGACAAAAACACAACCAGAAAAAGAAAGGCAUGAAAAAUGCAUUUGUGUGAGCUACUGCAGCCGGGGGAAAAGACUAGACAUUGACUCCGUGUACUCGUAGAGAUACAGCUUUUGUGUGUGUUUUUAUAAAGCAGUCUAUUUUCAGAUCACUGAAAAAAGCCUAGGCCACAAAAAGAACGGCUCUUUCACGCAGCUGAACGUGCGCAAGUGAAGGAAGUGGCGCCCUGGGGAACCUCAGCCGCCCACUUCCUGUCCAGUGUGGCCCACGCAGGGCGCUGUCUCCCCACUCCCAGUCCCCUGUGGGAAGGUGCGCGUGCCCUGACACCCAGGAAGCAGUCGCUUAGAACUAGUUUCCAUGAACAGCUGAUGAAGUAUUUUGCAGCUCUGUCAUGCAAAGCUGAUUUCUCAGGUGGCUAUUUAAAGUGUCCUAGUAACCAGUUAAGCAGCACUAAAUUAAUGUUUACUGAGCACUGUGACUAUGAAAGGCCUUUCCUACUGGUUUGGCUGGGAGUUGUGCUUCUGUGAAAUUAACAUUUCUCAUUCAUUGCCAAGAUUAUCUGCUUAAAAAUAUUAGACUUCUGCACUGUGGCCCAAAUAGCAGUUUAAGCAAAUGUGCGCCCGGGAUCAGAGGACAGUCCCACUGACCUGGAGUACAAGUGCCAUGUUCAUUUCCAGGAUUUGGACGAUGUCAAAGACGGAAAUAGUCACAAUGUGUCACCCCCACCCCCACCCCUGAACUGGGGAUCGAACUCAGGACCUUGUGUUGCAAGUCAGGUGCGGUGCCGCUGAGCUAAAUCUCCGGCCCCACUCACAAUGUUCUUUAUGGUCUGACAAGCAUGGCCGGGAUGAAAAACAAAACAAAAGUAACAAGACAGGAGAGAGAGGGGUACAAGGCAGACUGAGAGAGAGAGGAGGAGGGGAAAGAAGAGAGGGAGAGAGUGAGUGAGGAGAGAGAAGAGACUCUUCGCAGGGAGAGAGCCUUUUUCACAGUGCAAUUCAUAGCAGCGUUCCAAAACUUGGUUCUGUAUGAAUUGACUUGAAGGGGACAUGUCUAUAGGACAGAGCUUAAGGAGGAAAACUUUGUAAUUGGGGUUUAAGAAAUGGAAUGGAAAAAGAAAAGCUUGGUUUCAGCACCUGGAUUCUACACAGGAAAAACUGUAAAAGGGUGAUUUCUAAAUCCCUCUUCUUGAAUAAUCUAAGAAGACAAUUUAAAACCAAUACUUUAGAUGCUCUGACAUAUUAAGGGGUGCUGACUCAUAAUACAAUAUAUAAAUUCAUACUCUUGAGAAGGCCAAAUGACUGACUAGAAACAAAUGUUCUUGCAACCUUAUGAUUUCUGCUUUAAUGGCGAUCAAGUUUAAAAAAUGUACAGUUCAACUUAUCCAUACUAUUUAUUCCUUUAUAAAAGGCAGAUUUCAGGUAAGCUUCUAGAUGCAUGCAUAUUGCAAAGGCUAGUAUUUUCUGGCAGUCCUUGGUUCCUGAAAGUUGAACUUCAUCAGACGUGUUUUAAACUUUUUGUCAAAAUCGUCAUGAAGGAUAUGUUAUUUUUGCAUAAUGAGGUAAUAUCUCGGGGUGGGCACUCAUCACCAUACAAUAGUAUAAAUCCCCUUGCCUAAACUUGCAUGAGGCUGUGUGCAUUGUAAAAUGCCACAAAGAGUUUUGGGUCAGUGAAUAUUCUGCUGAAGGAGUAACACUUACAUUUAACUGAGUACUUUUCUGUAAUAAAUACCAAAGUAGGUUUUUGUAGCUGUAAACUGUAUACACAGAUAACUACAGGCUGGUCUGUCACGGAGCUAACUACAAGUUUCACCUGGAAAACAGAACCCACCUCUUUGCUAAGAAUGCACUUUCAGUAACAUGAUUGAGAAUACUGCUUUGUUAGGAACAGAAAGUCAAUUCUAUGCCCCUCAGCGGGUGCUGGAGACCACUUCUACUUGCAAAGCCAGCACUCCUGUGUUUUUUGUUUUUCUGUUUGUAAAACAGCAUAGAUAGACAGAUGUAAGUGCUAAAUGCCAAGGAUGGCUUUGGCAAACCAGUAAGGCGAACUGGGUCCCGAGGCUACCCUAAUACUGGCGAAGGCAGAAGACCACAGGAUAUUUACAACACAUACUAUAUUCCCUCCUGAGGUGGCCCUUCACGAGUUUCUCAUUCUGUAACAGCAGCUAUAUACACAUUGUGCACAGGAUUACAUGGAGGCAGCAGUCUUGCAUGAAGGAUGUGGGCAGUCUGAAGCUUCGGCUUUUUGCUAGUCGGACAGGAUGUGAACGAAAGACACCGGGAAAGACCCCCUUCCGUUCAGGCUGUCCUUCGAUGUGGCGAUCUGCAGGGAGAAGAGAGGAGGUUCAGGCCGGUGGGUAAGAGCUGCCCAAAGUCUGCCCACAAACCUGGGGGUAGAACCCCAGUCUCACCGUUCCCCACCCUUUGGUGAACCUCCGAGAGCUUGGGUCAUGAACCAGGUAGUAAAACAACAGAGUUGCAAACAACAUCUUACAAAACGCUCAGCACUUUUGCAUGGAUCUCAAGACACCUGUGCAGCAGCCCAAGAGGGGCAAUAACUUGCCGAGACCUCCUGGGCUUCAGGUUCCAGAACCUGUGUUGUGAAGGGGGUGUUGCUGGCUGUCUUUCCAGGCGAGUAACCUCAGACAAAUCUUACUAAACCUCCUACUGUUAAAACGGGGCUGAAAAUCCCUUCUCUCGGGCUGCUGCGUAUCAAUCACUUGUUUUUCAUUACUACAGGGAAAAGAUCCUGUGAAAACCUUUGACACUGAGGAUGGCCAAAGGCAGCUUUACUGUCUGCUACAUAAGCCUGCAAGCCAUGGUGACCUGCGAAAGUUUUCUGAUGACCUCAAUUAGAUCAGUAUUAAUUACAUUAAAGAGAAUCAUACCAUGGCCCUUUACCAGAAGGAGUAUCAAGACCAUACAUAUUGGCUUUGAAUGCCACAUACAGAGGAGAGGGUCUUAGGAAUGGGACAGAGCUGGGCUGGGCCGCUGUGGCAAGAGCUCACUUGCUUCCCAGGCCCGUGACCUCAGGGAACAUCCCUGCUGCCGGGUGUCUCAUCUGCCAAGUGUCCUGAGUGGCCUGCAUGUCUCCUAGGGUCUUGCUGGCAUCAGGCAGCAGGAGGGGUCCGGCAGUGCUGGGUCACGGUCAGGAAGUGUAGCUAGACAUGUGCUGACACCCACAGAAUCCUCCCCACAGCCCUGCUGAGACACGGGGUGCGGGGGGCACUGGUCCUCCUCGCCCAGGAGUCUGCUGGAGUUCUCAGCUUCUCAGCGAAGGAGAUAGUCACUGUCCAACAGCAGUGCGGUGAGAAGACUGCAGUGAGCCUGCGAUAUUUCCGGGAGGUAGAUGCGUCAGGUCCUGUCUUUUCCAGAGGAAACAGGUCUGCAGAAGGGACAUACUUUUGUCCAAGGCCGCAGGGACCAGCAGUGACCAUGCUGGGGAUUUCAGUCUGUUCCCCGUGGCUGUCCCAAGCUGGUUCUCCAACAGGCUGCACGCUGGAGGCAGGGCCACUCCACAGGCAGAGGCCAGAGCAGCGGCGUCUCUACGUUCAUGCUGCCCCAGGACACAGGAUGGGCCCCCAUCACCUCAGUCCUCCUCCCCUCUGCCUCAGCCUCCUUUGUUCUCUGCUGUGGGCUCUGCUGAGGCGGUAGGAUGUUAGCGCAUCCCCUGGCUCCCACCUGCUGGAUGCCCACAGCACUCCUGUCCCAGGUCUUCCCGACAGUCACAAUAUCCCCAGUUUGUUUGGUUUCUUUAUGGGUCUAUGUAACCCAGGCUGCCCUCGGACUCGUGGCAAUCUUCCUGCUCAGCCUCCCGAGUGCUGGUAUUACAGGCAUGUGCCUCCUCGCCCAGCUUCAAAACGUCCCCAGAUAUUGCCACAAGUCCCUGCAGGGCAAAACUGCUGCCACUUGGAACCAACUUGAGCCUCUGUCCUUACAGGGCCGAAGGACGAAAGGCUGCACCUUGGCCUGGCAGUUCCCAAGGGGCCUUGCUUCCUGGCCAGCCUGAGCAGCAAGGCCAUGCAACUGCCCUCGAAGGCCUCGCAGCCUG